UGGGAAGGGAGAGAUACAUGAAACACAAACGCAGCCAUGCAGCAAGGGUCUCAUUCUGCCUCUUAGCUGGCUAGGUUUCUUGUUCUCAUGGGGGGAAAUGCACGUGUACACUCCCUCCCCGCAAACCCACACAAAAUGAAACCCCCUCUUCAGAGAAGCCAGCUACAGGAAAUUGACUGAUGCACAGGAACUUGCUAAUCGCUUUUGUCACAUUCGGAUUGUUCCUGCUGUCUCGGUCACUUCGCACAGGCUAAGCCCAGCUGCCUCUGGUUGGCUUUUCCACUGGUGCAACUUCGUGGUUUUAGCUCUUCCAACGUGAAUCAGUCCUGUCUUGGAUGGACAGAUCAGCACACUCGCCACACUGAGGAGGCGCGGGCUGUGUUUGUGUUUGCCUACCUGCAUCAAGCGAACUCGACUUCCGGAGUCAGGCAUUUUGGUGGCAAGACGUUUUUGGGGGGCAUUCUACAACUGUGUCUUCCCUUCGUGCACCAUUUAUGCAGAGAAAGGCGUGUGUGGCUCGGAGUACGUAGAAAACUGUGCUUCUGGUUUCUGUGCAAUCAUCCUGUAAUGAAUGUGGCCUUCCUCUUGGGAGGAUGAGCUGGCUGGUGGGUCAACAAGUCUGCGUUCCUCAAAAGCCAGUCCUAAAUCCCACGGAGCAGGUGUUACUUCCCUUGGACGUCUGAAUGAGGUGUUACGGAUAUACUCUUCUGUCCCUGGACGUCGCUGUAGGUCGUGAGCCUGUCGCAGCGGUUCCUGGACUGUGAAGUAUCGGAGUCCACAUAAUACAAACAUACAGAAGGGGAGACAGCUUGCCGCGUGUUGUUGAAUCAGUCCUCUUUCAGCGGUGGAAGCCUGAACGAGUCAUUUACAUUCUUCAAUGUUUAGAUUUUUUAAAAAUAUCUGUAACAUAUCUCUAAUGACAGUCAUACUAACUGAAAAUACUAACCUUAGUAGGUUGCUGUAGAGAUAAAAUGAGAUAAAAACACGUGAAGCACUUAGCUCAGUGCUUGGCAUAAAAGAAAAUCUCAAAUAUGUGAUUCUCAAUAUUGUGAUGCUUUUAAAAAUUUUAUCAGUAUGUGUUUGCAGUACGUGAUGCUUACAUGGAUCUUGGGGAGGGGGUACAUGUGCAUAAUAAGCCUUGAUUCUUUUUUACUCACCUUCCCUCCCCACUCGCCUCCCUCCCUCCAACACUAAAUUCCUUUUCCUUUUUCAUUAUUAUUAGUACUUUUACUUGGUGCAACAACACAUAAUGUUUAUAUUCCUUGAGGACAUUUGGUAAAGACUUGGCGAUGGUCACAAAUGAAGACAGCCUGAUCCCCAACUAGCCACACUUUCAGUGCCAAUCUUCCUUUCAAAGAAAACUGGAGAUGACAGAGUCUUCAUCUUCUUGGGACAUAGCUUGACAGACAAGGAGAGGCCCAAGGCCCAUCUUUACGUUGGAGGCCGAGUUGAGGGUGCACCGGGAGGGCGAGGGUCUGACACCUGGAGUCAGAUCUACACGGGCCCCUGCCAGCCAUCCUAGUCCCCACCUGGGUUUUUUGUGGUUGGCUCACACUGCUGCGAUAUUUCCCAGUCACAAAUUCCUUUAAGAUCUGAGGAGAGCUGAUGCUUUUCUUUGAGAGAAAGCACGUAUAUAGGAAUACAGACAUUUGCUGUACACUUCCAGGGGAUUUUUAGGCCCUCUAAAACCCAUCCAUGGACUUCAGGGGUCCAGAGGUUUCAUGUCUAGAACUCUUGCCUCCAAGCUGUCAGUACAGUAAAGGAAGCAUUGCAGAGGGUGAGAAAAUCAAGCUGUGGUUGUGAACGUCACAUUAGACAGCAGCCCUAACUCUCCAACUGAAAGGAAGGCAAGAUGGCAGAUAUAAUUUUACCACCUCAGAUUCUCAAGCUGAGUCAUCUAUAGGGCUAGAGUUUUAGGGAACAUAUGGUUAACGCUUUAAGUUCUUAGCAUAGAAUUCUCUUUCGGGGCUAUUUCCACUUUUAGUGUUUUUCUUACUGUCACACGUGGCGUCGGACAGCGUAGCAAUGCUGGCAGAUCAUAAAUACUGGGCUGGCCAACUCUAGAGGGUAGUGAGAGAAUGGCCAUGGGUCAUCUGACACGUUUCAGCUGUUGACACCGAGCCAGCCCACUUCAGGGGUGAAGGCAUUGGCCGUUAUAUCAUGUGCUUGCUUCUGAGUGCAAGAGUCACUCCGUGAAGCUGAGUGUCUGAUGACUUUGGUGACAAGCCUCGCUGUGUAGACCUCUGCCCACGGCAGCCCAGCUGGCCUUAGUCAGUCAGUGGGCACCUGACUGAUAAUGUGGGAAACUGUAUUUUUGAUUGAAAGUUCACAUCUUUUGUAACCUCUUUGUCCACCUGGCCUGAGAUGCCAGGCAGGGCAUGGAGACUGAGCCCAGGCCCACCCCUUUUAACUGGUCAGAAGGCGAUGAGACCGUGGGGUUAUGUCAUGGACAGAGAGUGGCUAGAUAGGGCAGGGAGGGGAACUGAAUCCAUCUUCAAACCUCCAGAGAACAAAUAUUGAAAUUGGCUAAUAAACUGAGAAAUAUGAGUCAAGAUUCUCUUUGCGGAUAGCAUGAGAAUUGUACCUCUGUGUUUGAGGUAGAAAAUGAAAAUCUUAAGCAGGCAUUCAUGUAAUAAGUGCAACUCAUCUUCGAUUACCAUUUUGGUUAAUAUACACCCGUGAUUAGUUUUCCUGCCACUUUCAAUAUAUAUUUUAAUAAUAACGUACCACAUAACCUCCAGCCAUAGUCCUCAAAGCACAAAUACGGAAGGCAGGCCCUGAUUUAUGUCACUGGCCUUGAUGAAUUUUCAACUCUGUUAUGGUGGGUGCCACACAAUACACAGCCAUUCUGUUUUUUACUCUCAGUACAAUACUCAAUAAGUUACGUGAUAUAUUCAACACUUUCUUAUGAUAUAAAUAUCAUGUUACAUAUUUUUUCCCAGCCACAGGCUAAAGUUCGUGUUCUGAUGUUUAAGAUAGGCUCUGCUUAGCUGUGACAUUCAGUAGGUUAGGUGAACAAAAUGCAUUUUCAACUUGACGAUAUUUUCAGUUUAGGAUAUAACACCUUUAUGAGGAACAUCUGCUUAGCACAUCCACUAACAGCCAGCAGCAACUCCUCGUCCAGACACGGCUUCCCCGUGUGACUAGCAGCCUGCUGCUGCUGUGGGGAGCCAGUCCUCACAGUCCUCCUCCAUGUUUCUUGUUUCGUUCAGGUAGGAACCUACUUUCCGUCCACCUCGCCCCGCUUCUGGUCCAGCUAUCAUCCUUGUGGCACCUCUAAACACACAUCUGUCACCAUGGACUUUUUUUCCUUCUAUCUUGUGCUUUGUUUUCAGUUGGCACAAAAGUUUCUACCAGGGUUGGGGAUUUAGCUCAGUGGCAUAAGCGCCUGCCUGGCAAGUACGAGAUCAGGAGUUCGACUGCCAGUACCAAGAAAAAAAUUUCUACCCGUGUCCAUUCCAGCUGUGAACUGAAAAUGAUCCUGGCCGUGGUGGGGAAGUGUAAGGGUGGCCUGUGAUAAUUCCUUCUAGCAGAAAGAAAAGCCACAGAUGUGGAUUCAUCUUUAAAUGAUGAAAAGCCAUCGCCAUCAUCUACAAAAAUCCACCUGGUGUCUUGGUUGUACAUGCUUGAUGAAUCCUGAUUUGCCACUCUCUUUUGGAGUGGCUGGUUGAAAUUUGUAUCAGUAGUUUUUCUUCCUCUGGUUGUCAUGAGGGAGGAGAGGUGUGUUGGAGGUAAAUACAGGAAAUAGGAGGCGAACAGCUAGCAAAAUUUUACAUAUUAGCAGUACCACAAUUUCCUAUAGCUGCUACAACAAUAUUGUUAGUUCAUUCCUAUAGGCAGACUAGUUGGCAGUGUCAGAGAAGUAGAGUAAUAAUGUUAAUUUUUAAAAUAUAACAGUAAGUAGGUGUAUAAUGGUAAUGUAUAUUCAUUGUAGCAAAAAUAAUGUAUAUCUUAUAUAUUUUAUUUGUAAAUUUUAUGCAUUAAAAUUGCCACCAUCCCAGUGUUUUCCCUCCGAAUAAAUAAAAUCUAUCUUAAAAGGCUUCAGUAUUACUUCUUUGUAUAAUAGAAAUAUAGCUAAUGGGUAAAAAUCAUUUGAAUUAAUGAAGGGCAUCUAUAGGAAUCUUUUGCAGGUCUCUGGCUAUCUUUUCUUUCUUUUUAUCCUCUACAUUUCAGAAAAAGCAUUAAAAUAUAAUUGUGUCAAUGUUUCUGCUAAACUCUAGAAACAUGAGAAUACAUGGAUGGUUUUCACAUGGCCACAGAGGGGUCCUAUACAAAACUUGAUCAAAGAUUAAAAUCAAACUAAGAGUUUUGGAUUUUUACAAUGGCUGCCCAUUUGACAGGGUAUAUAGCAAAGACCCAUCACACACAUAUGUAUAAGGGAAGAAAAAUUAAAGUUUCUCUUCUAGUAGGGGUUAGAUGUCUAUAGUUUCAGUUUAAAAACUAAUUUGUACAAGUAUAUUUAAGGACAAAAAGUCAAUGUUUUCAGCUUAAGUUCAUGUUUAUUUAUUUAUUUUUUUGAUCUGUGACCAGCCCAGUUCACGGAGUUAUAUUAUCAUAAGUCUUCCACCACUUAACCGUCCUUUUCUUUGGAGAACUGAAAUAAUCUACUUUAAAGCUUUUCCUACAUUCAUCUGUGCAGUCGGAGUUUAAACAUUAGUGCUCUUUCCUUUAAAAUUUGGUCAUAAUUGAUUUUAUUUCUCCACAGGUAUGUAGUUUGUUAUUUUAUCAAUUAUAAUUAUUUUUUGUCUCCUUUGCAAAUUUUGAGAGUGCUUAAUGAUUCUUAAUUAUUCAAAUGAUUAAUGAUCAGGGUGAAAUACAGAAUAAAUACCAAGUUUAGUUGUCCUUAAAGUUGGAUUUGAAACCUUUAGAUUUUAUAAUAUUUUUUCGUUUCCUAUAAAAUAUUGGCCAAAAAUAGAAUUUAUAAAUAAUAUCACCAGCCAGUCAGAGAAGAGGGCCAAAUUGUUCUGCUUGAUAUGCUCUGUUCUGAACUGUGAUUUUGAAUUCUUUUAGAUAGCUUCAGAAGACUUCAGAAAAAUAACUAAUAGUUGCGCAGUAUGAACAAAUAGCCUGUAAAUAUUAAUAGCUUUUUAUUACUUCUGAGAAUUAUUCCUAAGUGAACAGCAUAAGUUGUUUUGCAAUAAAGGCAGAUCUUUUUCACAUGAUUUUUAUCAUAGAGAAACUUAAAAUGAACCUAAAAAAUGCUCAACAGAAAUCAGUGAUUAAACAAGCUAUCUUUCAUCCUAUUUAAUUUUAAUUGUGAUAUUUUUGAAGAAUAUUUAAUAACAAGUGAAAAAAACUGAAAUUAUAAAAAUCAUACAUGCUUAUAUAUAAAAGGCUUAUAUAUGUGUUUUUAUUUAUGAGUUCUGAAUAUGGAGGCAAACAAAGCAGUAUAUUACGUGAUUUUUUGGUGUGUGAUAAAGUUACAUAUGAUUUUAAGAUGUUCUUCAUUUUUUCCACCUUUUUAAUAGCUAGCAUGUAUUAUUUUUAUAUAAAAAGGCCAGUAACUUCAUUAAAAGAAAACCAAUUUUUGGUGAAAGGUUAACAAUAAAACUGACAUGAACAUUAUUUAACAUUUUGAAGGAAACUGAAUACUUUGAAAGCUCUAAGUCUAUCCUUAUAUGUUUUAAAAUUUAGAGGAAUGUUAGAUUUAGAACAGUUUCAGGUUUCUUGGGUCUUUAACCUUAAUAAGCACAGAAAUUUUGUUUCUAUUCCCAUGCUGGGAAUUGAACCCAGUGUCCUUGGGCCUGCCAGGCAAGCGCUCUCUUUCUGAGAUACUCUCCUAAGAGGAGAAAAUGAUUUUUAAUGAAAAAUAUUGGAGUUACUAAAUAUGCAUAUGAAUGGCUUAUGUUUUUUAAUAUGGGAGAAUUAGCUUCAUAACUACUUUCAGAAUUUAAGCAAAAUAUAAAACUUUAAAGUGACGAAUACAGAUGAGUAUUUCUGAAUUUUUAACAUGUAAGGGGGUCCCCAAGGGAUCUUUUAAGAAGUACAUUUUCCUUAUGUAUCUUAAAUAGUCAAUUUAGGAAUAAUUGACUUUCAAAUAUUUCAAAACACAUGCCUGCUAGAUAAAUCAUAAAUAUAUUUAUUUUGGUGUGAAGUAGGAGAAUUACCUUACGUUUCCUUUCAUGGACAUUUUUCAACACAGCAAUAGCAAAUAUCUAAAAGAUUGUUCAUGUUAAGUGCCAAAUGCUGAGAUGUUAUAAAAUUCUUUGAAAAGCUGGUUAGUUUAACAACAAAAAAAGUUUCCCGUUUCAACAUGAAUGCAAUCUCCUGUUUGAUUUGUGUGGUAUUCUUGAUUACUUUGUUUUUUCAACUCAAGACCUUUUGUUUGCCGGGCAGGUGCUUAUGCCACUGAGCUAUAUCGCCAGCCCUCCUGAUUACAUUUUUUCUUUAGGCAUGCUCCUUUCUGGCUUUGGUUUAAAAACUCAUGGUCAUGUUAGGACCGUUGUUUCUGAGAAUACAGUGUCUGACCAACACUUUCACUUGCAAAGUUGUACAGUACCCUGGAUUCAGGGUUCUGUGUAACGAGAAGCCUGAGGCUUAUGUCUGUGUGUUUGGCCCGGGACUCAGUCAGACGGUCUACAGUCUUGUCGUUCCUUAUCCUGGUAGAUGCAAGGUAAGAGCUGUGGCUUUUAGUUCUUCAGUCUUUUUUUUUUUUUUUUUUUUUUUCCAUUCUGGAGCAUGAGAAUUGAGAAAGGAAGGUGAGUUCGCUGUGGCUGUCUCUUUUUCCAGGAAAAGUAGAAUUUUCCCAGAGAUUUCCUAACAGUGACAUUACCUUCUGUGUCACUGACUGGAUUGCAUUAUCUAGCUUGAGGAAGAUGAAGAAACAGAAAGUGAAUUGUAAUUCCCCUUUACAACAUUUUUUUUUUUUUUGGUGGUGCUGGUGGUGGUACUGGAUCAAAUCUAGAGUCUUUGCACUGAGCUAAAUCUACAGUCCUUCAGUCCUUUUAAAAUUUAACUUAUUUUUUUAAUUUUAAGACAGGGUUUCACUAAUUUGCUAAAUUGAUAAAUUGGGCUUGGAUUUGUGAACUUCCUUACUCAGCCGCCCAGAGCACUGGGAUUAUAGGUUAGCAUCACUAGCGUAACUAGACCAUGAAUUCUUAAAGAUAAAGUAUAAAGAAUGAAAGGAGUGAGGGGUGGAGGUGUGGGGCUUGGGGUGCAGAUGGGAGCUGGAAGGUCCUGCUGAUGUCAUCUCCAACGGGAAGAAUAUUCUUUUGUAGAAUAAAAAAGGCAGGGAAAGAACUUUGUUUUUACCCUUAGACAACAUAAAGUACAGAUAUAUCUAAUAGCACAUAAACAGAUAUUUAGUAUAUCUAUGAUAUGCAAUUAAAAUUGUGAUAACUUAAAGGAAUGAUAAUGAAAAAAUGUUGGGAAACAUUGAUUUAGAUGAAAUGUGACCUGCUGUCCAAGGCUUUGCAUCUUGUCUUACAAACAAAACUUGAUUCUAUUACUAAGGACAAAGAGAGGCUCAGAUAGUGGAUAAACAGCUAAUAAAGCCUGAGGUAGAUCAUGUCACAAACUAACUUAAAGGACAGGUAACAGGCCCUUGUAGGUGUUAGUCCUCUCUUAUUGGACAAUAAGCAUCAUCACAGGAACUUACCUCCUUUGACAUCUGUCUUUAUACAUUAGCACACCAGGCCCUCAAUGUGUGUGCUUUAUAGGGCAAAUGAAACAAUUUCCCCUAAUAUACAUUUUGCAGCUUGACCAAUCACCUAAUAUCGAUUUUCACGUAUUUCUGUCCUUGGAAACCUCUUCAGCAGCCUGUUAGUCACUUUUCAGUUUAUUGAGACAAAAUACCCAACACACAAAGUUAGAGGAGAAAAAGUUUAUUGUAGGUUUCAGUCCCUAGUGUGCUGGCUCCCAGGCAAGGCGGCGUGGCAGAGGGGCGCUCAGAGGAGAAACAGCUCAGGGUGGGCAGAAGUCAGCAAGACAGCAAAGUGGUGAAGAAGCAGAAGCAACAACAGUGACCUCAGCAGCGCGCUUUCUGUCUCUUGUCUUCUCUCCGGGCUACAUGCCCUUGGGGUGGGCGCAGCACUAAGAUCAAGGUUGGACUUCCCAUUAUCCACACUCAGAAUUAUGCCAGACUGAUCAGUGGGCCAAUUUAGUAAGCACACACCCAGCACCACACACUCUAAUCCAGCCAGCUCUGAAAAGUACCACCCAUGACUACAUGAGGCUUUGGGGGACAUCUAGACACAGCUGUAACAAGCAGCUUCUAGUACCAUGCAGACACCAGGUCCAAGACCCUCCUUUCCUAUCACAUUCUUAGGUGCAGCCUGUGUCACGACAUGCUGAUUCCUCUGCCCCUGGAUUUAGUCCUCUGUGCCUUUGCACCAUGCCAUUUUCCUAUUUUUGUCUUGUCAAACUUCCUUCCUCUCUAAACGCCACUUGGUGUCACCUCUUCUGAGGCUUAGGUGCAUCCAACCAUCCAGAAUACUCUUCUUUGUCUCCAGCCUUUUCGAAUCUUCCCUUCAUUGCCUGUGUUAAAUCCUGCUUCCUCCACCAGGUCUUUGCAGUAACCCCAACCCUGGCACAUCUCCACUGUCUCUAAAUCCUACUUGUUUAAUGUAUCCAAAGUCUCCACCUGUUAUUUACCUGGUCCCAGCAUCUGUAUUUGUAUCUUGUCUCCACAAUAGGUUGAAGUCUUACAUUGCCCAGCUCAGUGCUGUGUGAAUAGAAAACAAUUAAUAAAAGUUGGCUGACUAACAGAUAAAAAUGAAUUUUAAAUGUCAAUAGAUAAAAUGAGCGACAGUAAGUUGAUGAAAAUUGUUUUCCUGGCAGUUCUAAAAUCCAUUGUAUCCAUAUUUUA